CCUACGGGAGGCAGCAGUGGGGAAUUUUGGACAAUGGGGGCAACCCUGAUCCAGCCAUGCCGCGUGUCUGAAGAAGGCCUUCGGGUUGUAAAGGACUUUUGUUAGGGAGCAAGUCCUGCAGGUUAAGAGCUAGUAGGGAUGAGAGUACCUAAAGAAUAAGCACCGGCUAACUACGUGCCAGCAGCUGCGGUAAUACGUAGGGUGCAAGCGUUAAUCGGAAUUACUGGGCGUAAAGCGUGCGCAGGCGGUUUGUUAAGACAGUCGUGAAAUCCCCGGGCUUAACCUGGGAACUGCGAUUGUGACUGGCAAGCUAGAGUACGGCAGAGGGGGGUGGAAUUCCUGGUGUAGCAGUGAAAUGCGUAGAGAUCAGGAGGAACACCGAUGGCGAAGGCAGCCCCCUGGGCUAGUACUGACGCUCAUGCACGAAAGCGUGGGGAGCAAACAGGAUUAGAUACCCUGGUAGUCCACGCCCUAAACGAUGUCAAUUAGUUGUUGGUUCUUUAUUGAAUCAGUAACGAAGCUAACGCGUGAAAUUGACCGCCUGGGGAGUACGGUCGCAAGAUUAAAACUCAAAGGAAUUGACGG
rnacentral:rRNA from 1 species